rnacentral:sRNA from 1 species
AGCAGCCGCGGUAAUUCCAGCUCCAAUAGCGUAUAUUAAAGUUGUUGCAGUUAAAAGCUCGUAGUUGAAUUUCGGGGUCAGUAGGUCGGUCGUGCCACUGGUAUGAACUGGUUUUACUGAUUCCUCCCUCUUGAAGAACUGUAAUGCCAUUAAUUUGGUGUUGCAGGGAAUCAGGACUGUUACUUUGAAAAAAUUAGAGUGUUUAAAGCAGGCUUUAGCUUGAAUACAUUAGCAUGGAAUAAUGAAAUAGGACGUUUGAUCCUAUUUUGUUGGUUUCUAGGAUUGACGUAAUGAUUAAUAGGGAUAGUUGGGGGCAUUAGUAUUCAAUUGUCAGAGGUGAAAUUCUUGGAUUUAUUGAAGACUAACUACUGCGAAAGCAUUUGCCAAGGAUGUUUUCAUUAAUCAAGAACGAAAGUUAGGGGAUCGAAGACGAUCAGAUACCGUCGUAGUCUUAACCAUAAACUAUGCCGACUAGGGAUCGGAUGAUGUUAAUUUUUUAAUGACUCAUUCGGCGCCUUAC